rnacentral:rRNA from 1 species
CGCUGGCGGCGUGCUUCAUACAUGCAAGUCGAACGAUAAGGCGUCUCGGACGUACAUAAGUGGCGGACGGGUGAGUAAAAUGUAGAGAAUCUGCCCUAGAGAGGGGGACAACCGUUGGAAACGACAGCUAAUACCCCAUAUGAGCGUAGCUGAAAUGCUAUUCUUGAAAACUCCGGUGCUCUGGGAUGAGUCUGCAUCUGAUUAGCUAGUUGGGGGUGUAAUGGACCACCAAGGCGAUGAUCAGUAGCUGGUUUGAGAGGAUGAUCGGCCACAUUGGAACUGAGACACGGUCCAAACUUCUACGGAAGGCAGCAGUAAGGAAUCUUGCACAAUGGGGGAAACCCUGAAUGCAGCAACGCCGCGUGAACGAUGAAGGCCUUAGGGUUGUAAAGUUCUGAUCUGGGGGAAGAAGAAAGUGACGGUACCCCAGGAGAAAGCCCCGGCUAAAUACGUGCCAGCCGCAGC